rnacentral:rRNA from 1 species
GGAGAAAAGCAGGGGAUCGCAAGACCUUGCGCUUUUGGAGCGGCCGAUGUCUGAUUAGCUAGUUGGUGAGGUAAAGGCUUACCAAGGCUUCGAUCAGUAGCUGGUCUGAGAGGACGACCAGCCACACUGGGACUGAGACACGGCCCAGACUCCUACGGGAGGCAGCAGUGGGGAAUUUUGGACAAUGGGGGAAACCCUGAUCCAGCCAUGCCGCGUGAGUGAAGAAGGCCUUCGGGUUGUAAAGCUCUUUCAGCCGGAACGAAACGGUCACGGCUAAUACCUGUGACCACUGACGGUACCGGAAGAAGAAGCACCGGCUAACUACGUGCCAGCAGCCGCGGUAAUACGUAGGGUGCAAGCGUUAAUCGGAAUUACUGGGCGUAAAGCGUGCGCAGGCGGUUUUGUAAGUCAGAUGUGAAAUCCCCGGGCUUAACCUGGGAACUGCGUUUGAAACUACAAGGCUAG